rnacentral:rRNA from 1 species
GACGAACGCUGGCGGCGUGCUUAACACAUGCAAGUCGAACGUGAUUUUUGUGGAAAUUCUUUCGGGAAUGGAAAUGAAAUGAAAGUGGCGAACGGGUGAGUAACACGUGAGCAACCUACCUUACACAGGGGGAUAGCCGUUGGAAACGACGAUUAAUACCGCAUGAGACCACAGAAUCGCAUGAUAUAGGGGUAAAAGAUUUAUCGGUGUAAGAAGGGCUCGCGUCUGAUUAGCUAGUUGGAAGGGUAAAGGCCUACCAAGGCGACGAUCAGUAGCCGGUCUGAGAGGAUGAACGGCCACAUUGGAACUGAGACACGGUCCAAACUCCUACGGGAGGCAGCAGUGGGGAAUAUUGCACAAUGGGGGGAACCCUGAUGCAGCGACGCCGCGUGAGCGAAGAAGGUUUUCGAAUCGUAAAGCUCUGUCCUAUGAGAAGAUAAUGACGGUAUCAUAGGAGGAAGCCCCGGCUAAAUACGUGCCAGCAGCCGCGGUAAUACGUAUGGGGCGAGCGUUGUCCGGAAUUAUUGGGCGUAAAGGGUACGUAGGCGGCCUUUUAAGUCAGGUGUGAAAGCGUGAGGCUUAACCUCAUUAAGCACUUGAAACUGGAAGGCUUGAGUGAAGGAGAGGAAAGUGGAAUUCCUAGUGUAGCGGUGAAAUGCGUAGAUAUUAGGAGGAAUACCGGUGGCGAAGGCGACUUUCUGGACUUUUACUGACGCUCAGGUACGAAAGCGUGGGGAGCAAACAGG